rnacentral:rRNA from 1 species
GGUUGAUCCUGCCAGUAGUCAUAUGCUUGUGUUAAAGAUUAAGCCAUGCAUGCCUAGGUAUAGGUGGACAAAGAACCGAGACUGCGGAUGGCUCAUUAAAUCAGUCAGAAUUAGUUUGGUGAAGCGUGGAAUGGAGAAGGAUAACCCUGUGAAUUGUAGAGCUAAUACAAGAAGAAGAUAUUUCAUGGUGGUGACACCGGUGGAAUAGCAUUUAUCAGCUCUGGUUUUGGUGUGUGUGGUUUGCUGUGCCUGUUUCAGGUG